UAGGGAAUCUUCCGCAAUGGACGAAAGUCUGACGGAGCAAUGCCGCGUGAGUGAAGAAGGUUUUCGGAUCGUAAAACUCUGUUGUUAGAGAAGAACAAGGAUGAGAGUAACUGCUCAUCCCCUGACGGUAUCUAACCAGAAAGCCACGGCUAACUACGUGCCAGCAGCCGCGGUAAUACGUAGGUGGCGAGCGUUGUCCGGAUUUAUUGGGCGUAAAGCGAGCGCAGGCGGUUCUUUAAGUCUGAUGUGAAAGCCCCCGGCUCAACCGGGGAGGGUCAUUGGACCCUGGAGAACUUGAGUGCAGAAGAGGAGAGUGGAAUUCCACGUGUAGCGGUGAAAUGCGUAGAUAUGUGGAGGAACACCAGUGGCGAAGGCGACUCUCUGGUCUGUAACUGACGCUGAGGCUCGAAAGCGUGGGGAGCAAACAGG
rnacentral:rRNA from 1 species